UAAUACGGAGGGCGCGAGCGUUAUUCGGAAUCAUUGGGCGUAAAGCGCGUGUAGGCGGCUGGGCAAGUCGGAUGUGAAAGCCCGGGGCUCAACCCCGGAAUUGCAUACGAAACUGCUCAGCUAGAGUCUCGGAGAGGAGGGCGGAAUUCCCGGUGUAGAGGUGAAAUUCGUAGAUAUCGGGAGGAACACCAGUGGCGAAGGCGGCCCUCUGGACGAUGACUGACGCUGAGACGCGAAAGCGUGGGGAGCAAACAGGAUUAGAUACCCUGGUAGUCCACGCCGUAAACGAUGAGAGCUAGACGUCGGGCAGCAUGCUGUUCGGUGUCGCAGUUAACGCAUUAAGCUCUCCGCCUGGGGAGUACGGUCGCAAGAUUA
rnacentral:rRNA from 1 species